UACGUAGGGUGCGAGCAUUGUCCGGAAUUAUUGGGCGUAAAGAGCUCGUAGGCGGUUUGUCGCGUCUGCCGUGAAAGUCCGGGGCUCAACUCCGGAUCUGCGGUGGGUACGGGCAGACUAGAGUGAUGUAGGGGAGACUGGAAUUCCUGGUGUAGCGGUGAAAUGCGCAGAUGUCAGGAGGAACACCGAUGGCGAAGGCAGGUCUCUGGGCAUUAACUGACGCUGAGGAGCGAAAGCAUGGGGAGCGAACAGG
rnacentral:rRNA from 1 species